AGCGAACGCUGGCGGCAGGCCUAACACAUGCAAGUCGAACGAAGUCUUCGGACUUAGUGGCGGACGGGUGAGUAACUCAUGGGAACGUGCCUUUAGGUUCGGAAUAACUCAGGGAAACUUGUGCUAAUACCGAAUGUGCCCUUCGGGGGAAAGAUUUAUCGCCUUUAGAGCGGCCCGCGUCUGAUUAGCUAGUUGGUGAGGUAAAGGCUCACCAAGGCUACGAUCAGUAGCUGGUCUGAGAGGAUGACCAGCCACAUUGGGACUGAGACACGGCCCAAACUCCUACGGGAGGCAGCAGUGGGGAAUCUUGCGCAAUGGGCGAAAGCCUGACGCAGCCAUGCCGCGUGGAUGAUGAAGGUCUUAGGAUUGUAAAAUCCUUUCACCGGUGAAGAUAAUGACUGUAGCCGGAGAAGAAGCCUCGGCUAACUUCGUGCCAGCCGCCGCAGUAACAC
rnacentral:rRNA from 1 species